UACGGGGGGGGCAAGCGUUUGUUCGGAAUUACUGGGCGUAAAGGGCUUGUAGGUGGCCAACUAAGUCAGACGUGAAAUCCCUCAGCUUAACUGGGGAACUGCUUCUGAUACUGGAUGGCUUGAGUUUGGGAGAGGGAUGCGGAAUUCCAGGUGUAGCGGUGAAAUGCGUAGAUAUCUGGAGGAACACCGGUGGCGAAGGCGGCAUCCUGGACCAACACUGACACUGAAAAGCGAAAGCCAGGGGAGCAAACGGG
rnacentral:rRNA from 1 species